CUGUGACUUGUAAGCAACUCUCUGUACUUUAGUACUGGACCAUCUGAGUUUCUAACUUAGUGAUGGAAGACACUAGGUGCAGUCAAGUACUUAUCAAGUUGGUAUGUGAGUCGAGAUGAAAUUGACUCUUCUAAAUUAGCAAGAAAUAUGCAUCAGUAUAUUAAUUUAGCAAAAUCUUGAUCAGGAUAAUCCUUAUGAUGGAUUUGAAAGGUUGAAAUAUAGUGUAAUCGACUAAAUUAGGGUUAACAGUCAAACUCUAGGUCACCUUGAGCAUUAGAGUCA
rnacentral:lncRNA from 1 species